AAAAGGUGGCUAUGCUACCGCUUUUGGAUGGGCCCGCGGCGCAUUAGCUAGUUGGUGGGGUAAAGGCUUAGCAAGGCAAUGAUGCGUAGCCGAACUGAGAGGUUGAUCGGCCACAUUGGGACUGAGACACGGCCCAAACUCCUACGGGAGGCAGCAGUAGGGAAUCUUCCACAAUGGGCGAAAGCCUGAUGGAGCAACGCCGCGUGGGUGAAGAAGGUCUUCGGAUCGUAAAACCCUGUUGUUAGAGAAGAAAGUGCGUGAGAGUAACUGUUCACGUUUCGACGGUAUCUAACCAGAAAGCCACGGCUAACUACGUGCCAGCAGCCGCGGUAAUACGUAGGUGGCAAGCGUUAUCCGGAUUUAUUGGGCGUAAAGGGAACGCAGGCGGUCUUUUAAGUCUGAUGUGAAAGCCUUCGGCUUAACCGGAGUAGUGCAUUGGAAACUGGGAGACUUGAGUGCAGAAGAGGAGAGUGGAACUCCAUGUGUAGCGGUGAAAUGCGUAGAUAUAUGGAAGAACACCAGUGGCGAAAGCGGCUCUCUGGUCUGUAACUGACGCUGAGGUUCGAAAGCGUGGGUAGCAAACAGGAUUAGAUACCCUGGUAGUCCACGCCGUAAACGAUGAAUGCUAAGUGUUGGAGGGUUUCCGCCCUUCA
rnacentral:rRNA from 1 species